UACGAAGGGGGCUAGCGUUGCUCGGAAUGACUGGGCGUAAAGGGCGCGUAGGCGGUUUGGACAGUCAGGCGUGAAAUUCCUGGGCUUAACCUGGGGGCUGCGCUUGGUACAUCCAGACUUGAGUGGGGAAGAGGGUCGUGGAAUUCCCAGUGUAGAGGUGAAAUUCGUAGAUAUUGGGAAGAACACCGGUGGCGAAGGCGGCGACCUGGUCCUUUACUGACGCUGAGGCGCGAAAGCGUGGGGAGCAAACAGG
rnacentral:rRNA from 1 species